GCCCCCUUCGUCUAGCGGCCUAGGACAUCUGGUUCUCAGCCAGAAGAUCAGGGGUUCGAAUCCCCUAGGGGGUA
rnacentral:tRNA from 1 species